rnacentral:rRNA from 1 species
GAUGAACGCUGGCGGCGUGCUUAACACAUGCAAGUCGAACGAGAAGUGAAGACGGAAACCUUCGGGCGGAAGGCUUUAUUUCGAGUGGCGGACGGGUGAGUAACGCGUGGGUAACCUGCCUCAUACAGGGGGAUAACAGUUGGAAACGACUGUUAAUACCGCAUAAGACCACAGCACCGCAUGGUGCGGGGGUAAAAACUCCGGUGGUAUGAGAUGGACCCGCGUUCGAUUAGCCAGUUGGCGGGGUAACGGCCCACCAAAGCGACGAUCGAUAGCCGAUCUGAGAGGAUGACCGGCCACAUUGGGACUGAGACACGGCCCAAACUCCUACGGGAGGCAGCAGUGGGGAAUAUUGCACAAUGGGGGAAACCCUGAUGCAGCGACGCCGGGUGAGUGAAGAAGUAUUUCGGUAUGUAAAGCUCUAUCAGCAGGGAAGAAAAUGACGGUACCUGAGUAAGAAGCCCCGGCUAACUACGUG